rnacentral:rRNA from 1 species
GACGAACGCUGGCGGCGUGCUUAACACAUGCAAGUCGAACGGAAAGGCCUCUUUCGGGGGGUACUCGAGUGGCGAACGGGUGAGUAACACGUGAGUAACCUACCCUUGACUUUGGGAUAACUUCAGGAAACUGGGGCUAAUACCGGAUAGGAGCUCCUGCUGCAUGGUGGGGGUUGGAAAGUUUCGGCGGUUGGGGAUGGACUCGCGGCUUAUCAGCUUGUUGGUGGGGUAGUGGCUUACCAAGGCUUUGACGGGUAGCCGGCCUGAGAGGGUGACCGGCCACAUUGGGACUGAGAUACGGCCCAGACUCCUACGGGAGGCAGCAGUGGGGAAUAUUGCACAAUGGGUGGAAGCCUGAUGCAGCAACGCCGUGUGCGGGAUGACGGCCUUCGGGUUGUAAACCGCUUUCGCUCAUGACGAAGCUUUGUGUGACGGUAGUGGGUAAAGAAGCACCGGCUAACUACGUG